CACAGCCAAGUGUCAGGAUGGGCAGUGGGUGAGGGGAGGAUCUCCCCUUCCCUCUCCCUUCCCUCCCCGCCACCCCCAUCUCUCUCCUCUCUGGCUCUCCUCUCCUUCCUCUCUCUCCCCCCUUCCUCUCGCUUCUCUCUCUCCCCCGUCCCUCUCUCUCCCCCCUUCCCUCUCUCCUCCCUCUCCCUCUCUCUUCCUCUUUCCUCUCUCUCUCUCUCUCUCUCUCUUCCUCUCUCUCCCUCUCCUUCUCUACCACCUCUCCCGUCUCUCCUCAUCUCCUCUCUCUGCUCGCGUCUCUUCUCUCUCCUCCCUCUCUCUCUCCCUCUUCCUUCUCGCAACAGUUUCUUUUUCUCUUUUCGUUUUCUCUCCUCUCUCCUCUCCCCUCUCUUCGCUCUCCGCUGGUCUCGCUCUCCCUCUCCUUCUCUCUCUCUCCUCUCUCUCUCUCUCUCUCUCCUACUUCCUCUCUCUCUCUCUCUCUUCUUCGCAUCCCCUCCCUCUCUCUCCCCUCCUGUCGCUCUCCCUCUCUCCCUUCUCGUCUCCCUCUCUUCGCUCUCUCUCUCCCUCUCCUUCUCUCUCCCUCUCCUUCUCCUUCUCUCUCCCGCUCCCCAUCCUCUCUCGUCCCUCUCUCCUUCUCCUUCUCCUCUCCUCUUCCCUCCCUCUCCUCUAUCUCCUCUCCUUCUCUCUUCUCUCUCCCUCUCCUUCUCCUUCUCUCUCCCUCUCCUUCGCUCUCUCUCCCCACCCCCCUCGCCGUCUGCUUUCUCUCUCUUUCCUUUCUCUCAAUCUCAUCCCUCUCCUCUCUCUCGCCCUCUCCUUCUCUCUUCUCUCUUCCUUCAUCCCUCUCUCUCUCUCCCUCUCCUCUCUCUCUCCCUCUCCUCUCCCUCUCUCCCUCUCCUUCUCUCUCUCUCCUCUCUUCUCUCUCUCCUUCUCUCUCUCUUCUCUCCUCUCCGUCUCUCUCUCUCCUUCUCUCUCUCGCUCUCCUUCUCUCUUCCUCUCCUUCUCUCCUCACCUCUCCGUCUCCCUCUGUCUCCUCCCUCUCCUUCUCUCUGGUC
rnacentral:lncRNA from 1 species